UAAGUAGGGGGCAAGCGUUGUUCGGAUUUACUGGGCGUAAAGGGCGCGUAGGCGGCGCGUAAAGUCGGACAUGAAAUCAUUAGGCUCAACCUAGUGGCUGUGUCCGAUACUUACGUGCUUGGAGUGCGGGAGAGGCAGCCGGAAUUCUCGGUGUAGCGGUGAAAUGCGUAGAUAUCGAGAGGAACACCGGUGACGAAGGUGGGUUGCUGGCCGCAUGCUGACGCUGAGGCGCGACAGCGUGGGGAGCAAACCGG
rnacentral:rRNA from 1 species